AUUGAACGCUGGCGGCAGGCCUAACACAUGCAAGUCGAGCGGUUGAGAGUAGCUUGCUACUUGAUGCAGCGGCGGACGGGUGAGUAACGCGUGGGAAUCUGCCCAGUAGUGGGGGACAACAGCCGGAAACGGCUGCUAAUACCGCAUACGCCCUACGGGGGAAAGGGGGGGAUCUUCGGACCUCUCGCUAUUGGAUGAGCCCGCGUCGGAUUAGCUAGUUGGUAGGGUAAAGGCCUACCAAGGCUACGAUCCGUAGCUGGUCUGAGAGGAUGAUCAGUCACACUGGAACUGAGACACGGUCCAGACUCCUACGGGAGGCAGCAGUGGGGAAUAUUGGACAAUGGGCGGAAGCCUGAUCCUGCCAUGCCGCGUGUGUGAAGAAGGCCUUUUGGUUGUGAAGCACUUUAAGCGAGGAGGAGGCUACCUGGAUUAAUACUCUAGGAUAGUGGACGUUACUCGCAGAAUAAGCACCGGCUAGCUCUGUGCCAGCCGCCGCAGUAACAC
rnacentral:rRNA from 1 species